AUGAACGCUAGCUACAGGCCUAACACAUGCAAGUCGAGGGGCAGCAUAAUUGAAGCUUGCUUCAAUUGAUGGCGACCGGCGCACGGGUGAGUAACACGUAUCCAACCUUCCGCUGACUCGGGGAUAGCCUUUCGAAAGAAAGAUUAAUACCCGAUAGCAAAGGAUUUCCGCAUGGAUGUCCUUUUAAAGGAUUCCGGUCAGCGAUGGGGAUGCGUUCCAUUAGAUAGUUGGCGGGGUAACGGCCCACCAAGUCGACGAUGGAUAGGGGUUCUGAGAGGAAGGUCCCCCACAUUGGAACUGAGACACGGUCCAAACUCCUACGGGAGGCAGCAGUGAGGAAUAUUGGUCAAUGGGCGAGAGCCUGAACCAGCCAAGUAGCGUGAAGGAAGACUGCCCUAUGGGUUGUAAACUUCUUUUAUACGGGAAUAAAGUCAUCCACGUGUGGAUGUUUGUAUGUACCGUAUGAAUAAGGAUCGGCUAACUCCGUGCCAGCAGCCGCGGUAAUACGGAGGAUCCGAGCGUUAUCCGGAUUUAUUGGGUUUAAAGGGAGCGUAGGCGGGCUUUUAAGUCAGUUGUGAAAGUUUGCGGCUCAACCGUAAAAUUGCAGUUGAUACUGGAAGCCUUGAGUACAGUAGAGGCAGGCGGAAUUCGUGGUGUAGCGGUGAAAUGCUUAGAUAUCACGAAGAACUCCGAUUGCGAAGGCAGCUUGCUGGACUGUAACUGACGCUGAUGCUCGAAAGUGUGGGUAUCAAACAGGAUUAGAUACCCUGGUAGUCCACACAGUAAACGAUGGACACUCGCUGUUGGCGAUAUACGGUCAGCGGCUUAGCGAAAGCGUUAAGUGUCCCACCUGGGGAGUACGCCGGCAACGGUGAAACUCAAAGGAAUUGACGGGGGCCCGCACAAGCGGUGGAGCAUGUGGUUUAAUUCGAAGCAACGCGAAGAACCUUACCAGGUCUUGACAUCGAUCUAAAAGGGAUGGAGACAUCCUCAUAGCUAUAGAGAAGACAGGUGGUGCAUGGUUGUCGUCAGCUCGUGUCGUGAGAUGUUGGGUUAAGUCCCGCAACGAGCGCAACCCUUAUAUCCAGUUACCAUCAGGUCAUGCUGGGGACUCUGGAUAGACUGCCGUCGUAAGAUGUGAGGAAGGAGGGGAUGACGUCAAAUCAGCACGGCCCUUACGUCCGGGGCUACACACGUGUUACAAUGGGGGGUACAGCAGGCCGCUACCUGGCGACAGGAUGCCAAUCUCCAAAACCCCUCUCAGUUCGGACUGGAGUCUGCAACCCGACUCCACGAAGCUGGAUUCGCUAGUAAUCGCGCAUCAGCCACGGCGCGGUGAAUACGUUCCCGGGCCUUGUACACACCGCCCGUCAAGCCAUGAAAGCCGGGGGUACCUGAAGUGCGUAACCGCAAGGAGCGCCCUAGGGUAAAACCGGUGAUUGGGGCU
rnacentral:rRNA from 1 species